rnacentral:ncRNA from 1 species
ACUGGUAGAGGUGCGCUAAUUAUUAAUAGUCAGCAGGAUGCCGCGGCAGGCAGAUGAGAACUGAUGAAAGGAUGCAGCGCCGAAGAAGUGAUACGGCCGAUGUAUUAUUUCUGGUUAUGUGGUUAAGAGCCAUAUGACUGUCAUCGUAAGAUGGAGAGCUACCUA